CUCAGUAUAAGCUUCUAUACGGCGAAACUGCGAAUGGCUCAUUAAAACAGUUAUAGUUUAUUUGGUGGUCAGCAAUUACAUGGAUAACCGUGGUAAUUCUAGAGCUAAUACAUGCGUCCAAACCCGACUUCGUGGAAGGGUUGUGUUUAUUAGAUACAGAACCAACCCAGGCUCCGCCUGGCCUUGAGGUGAUUCAUAAUAACCGAACGAAUCGCAUGGCUAUGCCGGCGAUAGACCAUUCAAGUUUCUGACCUAUCAGCUAUCGUCGGUAGGGUAUUGGCCUACCGUGGCAAUGACGGGUAACGGAGAAUUAGGGUUCGAUUCCGGAGAGGGAGCCUGAGAAACGGCUACCACAUCUAAGGAAGGCAGCAGGCGCGCAAAUUACCCAAUCCUGACGCAGGGAGGUAGUGACAAGAAAUAACAAUACAGGGCAUACAUGUCUUGUAAUUGGAAUGAGUAAACUUUAAAUCACUUUACGAGUAUCAAUUGGAGGG
rnacentral:rRNA from 1 species